rnacentral:rRNA from 1 species
AUGGCCGCUCAGAGCCUCCUCUUUGCCGCCGCCGCGCCUCUCUUCCAGGCUCCUGCCUCUGCCCGCCCUUUCCAGUCGCUCCGAAUUGUCUGCACCCCAGAAGGCGCCACCGCCGCCGCCAGGGCGCUCGUCGUCGCCGACGCCACCAAGAAGGCAGUCGCGGUGCUCAAGGGCACCUCGCAGGUCGAGGGCGUCGUCACGCUCACCCAGGAAGACGACGGUCCUACGACGGUGAACGUUCGUAUCACUGGACUUGCUCCUGGACUUCAUGGCUUCCACCUCCAUGAGUUUGGUGACACGACUAAUGGAUGCAUAUCAACAGGUCCACAUUUUAACCCAAACGGCCUGACACAUGGUGCACCAGAAGAUGAAGUCCGUCAUGCGGGUGACCUGGGAAACAUUGUUGCCAAUGCUGAAGGUGUGGCGGAGACAACCAUUGUCGAUAGCCAGAUUCCUUUGACUGGCCCUAAUGCAGUUGUUGGGAGAGCGUUUGUUGUUCAUGAGCUUGAAGAUGACUUGGGAAAAGGUGGGCAUGAGCUCAGCCUCAGUACUGGAAAUGCUGGUGGAAGACUUGCAUGUGGUGUUGUUGGCCUGACCCCGUUGUAG